rnacentral:rRNA from 1 species
CCUACGGGAGGCAGCAGUGGGGAAUAUUGGGCAAUGGAGGAAACUCUGACCCAGCAACGCCGCGUGAAUGAUGAAGGUCUUCGGAUUGUAAAGUUCUUUUCUAAGGGAAGAAGAAAGUGACGGUACCUUAGGAAUAAGCCUCGGCUAACUACGUGCCAGCAGCAGCGGUAAUACGUAGGAGGCAAGCGUUAUCCGGAAUGACUGGGCGUAAAGGGGGCGUAGGUGGUUUGACAAGUUGGUAGCGUAACUCCGGGGCUCAACCUCGGCACUACUACCAAAACUGUCGGACUUGAGUGCAGGAGGGGCGAAUGGAAUUCCUAGUGUAGCGGUGGAAUGCGUAGAUAUUAGGAGGAACACCAGUGGCGAAGGCGAGUUGCUGGACUGUAACUGACACUGAGGCACGAAAGCGUGGGGAGCAAACAGGAUUAGAUACCCGUGUAGUC